rnacentral:misc_RNA from 1 species
UACGUAGGGUGCGAGCGUUAAUCGGAUUUACUGGGCGUAAAGCGUGCGUAGGCGGCUUUUUAAGUCGGAUGUGAAAUCCCCGAGCUUAACUUGGGAAUUGCAUUCGAUACUGGGAAGCUAGAGUAUGGGAGAGGAUGGUAGAAUUCCAGGUGUAGCGGUGAAAUGCGUAGAGAUCUGGAGGAAUACCGAUGGCGAAGGCAGCCAUCUGGCCUAAUACUGACGCUGAGGUACGAAAGCUAGAGGAGCGAAUGGG